CAUCGAGGACUUUUGAUCUAUCACGCAUUUGUGCAAACUGGACAAUAAACAAGUUAUUCUCAAUCGAUCGAAAGAUAGCACCUUUCGAAAUCGCCCAAAUCUGAUUCAUCGUUCUUUUGAAAGCAUCAAAGUUAUAUGGCCUAUCUGUUAGAACCUUCCCAACAAUCGAAAGAGAUAGAUCCUUUGCCCAGUUAUCAUCCUCCUCUCCAGUUAGGGCUACAAUUUCCUCUUCCUCUUCUGUAAUUGAUAGAUUCGCGCACCGAUUUACCAGAUCAUCAGCCAUGGAGGCUGUAAUCUUGCCCUCACAAGGGCCACAAUGCUCGAAAAAUCAAGUAGAACACUCAAACCCUAGCAGAGCGUGGGAGAGACUCGAGUUUAGAUUUUUAGAUUUUGCGGUUUAGAUGUCUCUCAAGAUUAUCAUUCAAUUCAAAUUUCUUCUUCAUAUUUGAAUAGAUCGUUCAAAGAUCCAUAUAUAACAUGAUCAUUGAUUUGCGACGGUUCUUUUUAUCGGUGAUUAAAUUUCGGUUGAUUUUUUUGAAGACAUGGUGGAUCCUUCAUUGGAGAAGACCGAUCUGCGUAACAGUUAAUUGGAUCUGCUUGAUUCGAGGGUUCGGGAGUGCCUUUUGCUUGUGGUUCUGAUUAAUGGUGUCGGAUGAAUGGUAUCUUGGCGAAGUUGUUGGUUAACCAAAGAAGAUUGAAAGCUAUGCUGUUUGGCUCUACGGUAUCUAAUAUUUUUUUAGUGUUUGGUAAUUAGCAAGUUAUGUGAUUCAUAGUGGGAGCAUAAGUAGGCAGAUACACUUUUUUUUUUUAGUUGUUUCGAUUAGUUGCUCUUGUUAGUUGUCGACCUUUGCCAUGUCAGGUGCGCUUGCUUGGCAGGUCACCCGAUUUAAUAAAAGUUUUCAUUUGUUGGGUUUUAAGGGGAGAUGGUACGGGGUUGUUUUUGCCCGACUCUCCCCUUUUGUGUCUGUGUCUCUCGCAAAUUUCUUUACCCCCUUCCCCCUACCCCUCCCACUCUACGGUAAAAGCUAUUAAUUGCUACUACUACCACUAUUGUUGAGCAAAUCAACAUGCAAAUCGUCUCGUUGGACAACAAUGCGGAAUUGCUGAGGUAUCUCAAUGACCCCUUUUAAUUCCUUGUUAGGCAUUCAUUGAUGUGCAAACUUCCCUUUAAAUUUUCAUUCAUCUGCUUUAGUGGCCCUCUCCGGUCCAGAUAUAGUCAGAUUAAUUAUCAGGACUAUCGUCCACGUACAUAAUCUCCAUUGUUUUAAUGGGGAAUGGGGAUUAAAAUAUGAUACAUAUGCAACUUUCUUGAAUAUUAAAAUUUGAUACAUAUGCAACUUUCUUGAAUAUAUUCUUGUUUGACGCUUACUCAUAUAUCAAUAUCGCAGUACAUAAUUUAAUGUGGGGAACAUUAGUCCAUAUAGCAAGCAACCCAAUCCUGAUUAAGCUACAUCCACGUGUGAAUGAUGCAAUUGCACAAUGCAAAUAUCAGCUGAUAACAUGUGUAUAACUCAAUCUUGGAUCUUCAACGAAAUUUCAUAUCCUAUUAUGAGAAAGUAGUCAUUAUUAUAUGGAUUUACUGUCAAUAUAAUCUAUGCUUCAUGAUGCUUGUGAUUCACUCUUGUUUCUCUAUAUGGAGGUGUCAGGAAGAAGUAUUAUUAUGAUUGUACUAUUUUGCUCUGUAUUAGAAUUAUAUCUGCAGGAGUUGUACUCCACAUCCUCGAUUGCUGAAGAUCAAAUAUUCUUGGUGCUAUUUCUUUGGAAGAGAGAUUUGUUUGCCCCUGUUAUGCGAUGUCGCUGGAGACUGCAUUUAUGAAAUAAAAUUAUUUUCGCAAUUUUGGUGAAGAUGAGAACUUUACAUAUAUGUUGAGAUGGUUUGUGAGCAAGAAGGCAGGGGCGGGAGUAACUGCAAACUGGAGGUAGUUUAUGUCCAACAUCACGGCAAGUAACUGUAAUUGUUGUUGGCCUUUUAUCUUCCUGAUUGGAUGCUUUUGAUGGAAAAGCCUUUAGGUCAUGUUUCAUGUGUUUUGCCUUUUAGGUUGAUUGUUCAGUUGAAAUCUUCCCGGUGGAAUUUGGGCCUGCAAAAUUAUCCCUGUUGUGAAAUACAUUCUGAUGGCAUCGAUAUGAUCUGAUUGAGCUAUGCAUAUCUGGUGUUGUGGAAUUGGAUUGCUGCUUGAUGCUUCUCAGCUACUUAAGACGAGCAAGAACAGCUGUACCUUUACGUGGACACCUUUACAGAAACAAUGCAUUACAUAACAUCUGGAGAACAAAGCUGUUAAGUUUGUUUGGUGCUCUGUACAAUAUCUUGGUGCCUUUGUUGGAAUAUUUUGAACGCCAAUUUAGUUACAUCUGGAGAAUGAAGUUGUGACAUUUUGCUGGUGUUGUGUACGAUAUGUGGUGCUCUAUUGGAAUUUUAAAACAUCUGGACAAUAAAGUAGUUACGUUUGGUUGGUGUUGAGUACUAUAUAUUGGUAUUGUGACGACAAGCUAUGUUUUGGCUGUGAUGCGUGGGCACAUUUGUAGUCAUCUUUAUAUCCAAGCUGUGGACUAGUUGCCUUAUGUCAUUUGGCGAGGUCUGGAGAUUUUGAGCAUUUUGUUAGUAUUGUACUUUGCUGUGCAUUUGUUCUAUUUUUAUUCUUUUUUUUAUUUGAAAUCUGCAUCAUUUGGUAGCAUCUUUGCUAGACUUGUAUCUAUUUUCUAUGUAUGAUACUGUGAGGGUCUUUGAUGUUAAGGUUUUAACACCUGACAUGGCUGUGAAAGUAUUUUCUAUGUUGCAUU